rnacentral:rRNA from 1 species
CAUGUAGGCGGCUUAAUAAGUCGAGCGUGAAAAUGCGGGGCUCAACCCCGUAUGGCGCUGGAAACUGUUAGGCUUGAGUGCAGGAGAGGAAAGGGGAAUUCCCAGUGUAGCGGUGAAAUGCGUAGAUAUUGGGAGGAACACCAGUGGCGAAGGCGCCUUUCUGGACUGUGUCUGACGCUGGGAUGCGAAAGCCAGGGUAGCGAACG